rnacentral:rRNA from 1 species
AACCUCCGCAAUGUGAGAAAUCGCGACGGGGGGAUCCCAAGUGCUAUUCUUAACGGGAUGGCUUUUCAUUAGUGUAAAGAGCUUUUGGAAUAAGGGCUGGGCAAGACCGGUGCCAGCCGCCGCGGUAACACCGGCAGCUCUAGUGGUAGCAGUUUUUAUUGGGCCUAAAGCGUCCGUAGCCGGUUUAAUAAGUCUCUGGUGAAAUCCUGUAGCUUAACUGUGGGAAUUGCUGGAGAUACUAUUAGACUUGAGACCGGGAGAGGUUAGAGGUACUCCCAGGGUAGAGGUGAAAUUCUGUAAUCCUGGGAGGACCGCCUGUUGCGAAGGCGUCUAACUGGAACGGUUCUGACGGUGAGGGACGAAAGUUAGGGGCGCGAACCGGAUUAGAUACCCGGGUAGUCCUAACCGUAAACGAUGCGGACUUGGUGUUGGGGUGGCUUUGAGCUGCUCCAGUGCCGAAGGGAAGCUGUUAAGUCCGCCGCCUGGGAAGUACGGUCGCAAGACUGAAACUUAAAGGAAUU